AGAGUUUGAUCCUGGCUCAGAACGAACGCUGGCGGCAUGCCUAACACAUGCAAGUCGAACGCACCGCAAGGUGAGUGGCGCACGGGUGAGUAACGCGUGGGAACCUGCCCUGGAGUGGGGGAUAACCCGGCGAAAGCCGGGCUAAUACCGCAUACGUCCUGAGGGAGAAAGAUUUAUCGCUCUAGGAGGGGCCCGCGUCG
rnacentral:rRNA from 1 species